GACUAGUAUGACCAAAGACAGCACCAAAAGCACCUUCUCGUUGUGUAACUUUGCCAUUGGAAGUUGAAAAGAAGAAAAUCAUUUUUCUAUGACAGCCACAGGCUAAGUAACUCAAUUUUAAAACAAAUAAUUUAAAAGUGUACACGGUUAAGAAUCACUGACGAUAAUAAGAAAAGAUGGCAAUGAAGUGAACGCAAGAGCCAGGGUGUCACAAUAAUUUAUGAUGCUGAACAUACUAAAUUAUUUGAUCAGAGAGCCAUGUUAAAGUACUAAGAAACAACAAAGUUGACUUCAAGAUGUUGCUAACGGAAGAAACAGAUCAUCCUUCGACCCAAAAACAUCCUUCUUCAUUGUCCAUAUCAAUAAUUCGACCGACCAACAGAGAGCUAGCUUAUGUUUGAUUAUUGCCUAGUUCUGACACGUGCUUGAUUUGGUAAUAACUGGGGGAUUUGGUAGUAAAGAGAUGUGCUGUACUUGUGCAACAACUGACUGGCGCUUCUAUAUACCAUGGAGUAAUUUUGUAGAUGUUAGCACAAAUCAGUUAACAUGCUUUAGAGCAUGUUAAUAUAAGAGUGCUUCUUGCGCUCAUAUCUUGUGUAAAAUUAAAACAAAAUCUAAUUUACA